UAACUCGCCGGGUAAGUUCGCGAUAAAGUGUUAAUUGCAAUUAUAAUGUACGCGCGCGCACCGAAUGGGGAGUUUGUGCGAGAAAAUCACUUCAGUUCAGUAGUACACUGUUCCCCGACGGUACCAUCAAUAUUCCAUAAAACAUGUGUGCCUCUACCUCAAGUGAUGUUCGUGCAGGCUCCACUUCACUACUGCUAAGCUCCACCUACCCGAACAUUAACCCAGGGAGCUCCGGCUGCGAAGCGGGCCUGAGCCAGACAUAGACAUGGGACUAGGGUAGACUGGAACCUCAAAAAAGCGAAAAGUUCUGUUGCGAUACCCCUCCUAAUUUUUUCAAAAUUCAUUACAAAAUGGCCGAUCGAGACUGGGGUAGAAGGACAGAACUUUUCUUUUUUUUGAGGUUCCAGUCUGUGCCUCGAUGUCAGGAUACUGCCACAUGAUAGACCUUCAUCCAUAUAAUCGUGGAACUUGCAAGAUUGCAAUCACAACAUCCCUUUAUGCGACUAGUGUAGAGACUUGAAGUUGGUACUUCCAAGAAUGCAGAAUCACAACCUCACCUCACUUUAUGCGACUAGUGUAGAGACUUAAAGUUGGCAUUUAUCUGAUCACCGGAUCUCGGCCUCCUUUCCCUUUACCAGUUUAAGACUAGACUAGGUAAAUCAUACAGAUUGUGAGCAGAGAUAAAGAAAGAAGGACAAACUGGAAGGAGGCAGAAGUCCAAGCACUCUGCUUUUUAGCAGCAUUGAACAAGAAAUCCCUCUUUUAAUUUGGAGUAAUGAUUUAAGUUAUCGGAACAAGGCAUUAUGACUGGAACAUGAAGGCAAGCGAUGCAGAGGAAGAAAAAUUAUCUUUUAGAUGAACUCUGCGGACAUCCCAAUACUUUUUCAGAUGCCCCCAGUUAAGUCAACAAUGGAACUUUCCAAGAAGAGGGAAGAGGACCUAUGGAAAGAUAUCCGCCCAUUUGUAGAUGAGGAAAAGGUAGAUCCUCUCAGCAUGAUCUGACCAAUGCGGUGAUGUCUUUUAAGGCAAGCGCACACCUUACGACCCGAUCCGGCGUCACAGCUCUUGUCAGCUUGAGAGUCGCAGACCGGUCAGAGACAAGUCGCAAGGUAAACCGUAAGGAUUUGACAUGUCAAAUCCUUAUGACUGAACGGCAGGCUCAAUCCAACUUCCAACCAAUCAGACAGCAGAGUUGCACGACGCGUAUAUGAUAUACAACAUGCAUACGCUGUACGUAGCAAGCGCUAUUUUCUCAGUUGCUAUGGCAAAAAGCGCAGCAUGCGUGAGUCAAAGACAGCAUAGCAUGAAAGUCGGAUCGCAAGGUGUGCGGUGUCGAGGCUUAUGACUACCAUGCGAUUUAAGCUUCGACACUGCACACCUUGCGAUCCGACUACCAUGCUGUCUGCUACUCACGCAUGCAAUAUAAGGCCAGGGGGUGUUUCACAAAGAUUUAAGUAUGACUUAGAGUCGCACUUAAAUGCCUCAUUACGUGCGAUAUAAAAGGCAUGACCGCAUUGGUCAGGUCAUGAGUAGAGGCAGCGCACUACUGCCUAUUUGCGUUGGCAUUUAAGUGCUACCUAAAUCAUACUUAAAUCGUUGUGAAACACCACCCUGGUUACAUUGUAAAGCCAGGUUAGACUAUAAGUUGUUUCAAUUUUAAGCCAAGUUACUAUUUAAUGUUGGGUUACAUUACAAGGCAAGACUACAUUAUCAGGCCAUGUUACACUUUUAGUCAGGUUACACUAUAAGGUCAGUGGUGUUUCACAAAGAUUUGAAUAUGACUCUUACAUGAUAUGCAACAUGAAUCUUUUUAUCAAUACCGUACGCAGUAGUGCGAGUCCUCUCAGCAUGAUCUGACCAAUGCAGUGAUGUCUUUAAUACUGCAUGCAAGUAGGCCCAGAUUACACUUUUAGAUCAGGAUACCUUCUAAAGCCUGGUUACGCUUUAAAGAAGGUAACUCUUUAAAGCAGGUUAAAUUAUUAGGAGAGGUUACACAAUAAGCACAUGAAUCACACUUAAAAGGUCUAUUGAAGCCACUUGACUUUUCAAUUGCAGGUUACAUUAUAAGGCAAGGUUACACAAUAAGCACAGGUAUCACACUAUCAGGCAACUCAGCCUAAAUUACACUAAAAGAUCAGGAUACAUUUUAAAGCCAGGUUUAAAGCAAGGUUACUGUUUUAAGAAGUUAACUCUUUGCAGGUUAAACUAUAAGGCCAGGUUACACAAUAAGCACAGGUAUCACACUUAAAGCCUAUCAAAGCCAGAUUACUUUUUAAUUCCAGGUUACAUUAUAUAGGCCAGGGGGUGUUUCACAAAGAUUUAAUUAUGACUUAGAGUUGCACUUAAAUGCCUAGUUUUGCGCGGUAUAAAAGCCAUGACCGCAUUGCACAUUGGUCAGAUCAUGCAAAGAGGACGCGCACUAUUGCGUAUUAAUGAAUUAGAUUGCGCGUUGCAUUUCAGAUACGCGUCGGCAUUUAAGUGCGAUUUAAGUCAUACUUAAUUCUUUGUGAAACACCCCCCAGGUUACGUUGACCAUGUUUCAGUUUUAACCUAGUUACUCUUUAAUGUUGGGUUACAUUACAAGGCAAGACUACAUUAUCAGGCCAUGUUACACUUUUAGUCAGGUUACACUAUAAGGUCAGGGGUGUUUCACAAAGAUUUUGAUAUGACUCUUACAUGACAUGCAACGUGAAUCUUUUUUAUCAAUACCGUACGCAGUAGUGCGAGUCAUCUCAGCAUGAUCUGACCAAUGCGGUGAUGUCUUUUAUACUGCACGCAAGUAGGCCCAGAUUACACUACUGCUAUUUCAGACUUUGUUCUUGUAUUAAAAGUCUUCAGAUUACUAAAAAAUAGUGGUCAUAAAACUGUCUGGGAGUUAUGCUUAAUUUUAUACCUAAAAAGCCAUUUGUGACUUUGAGGAUUUUUUCACUCUUAUUUUUUGGAGGAUUUUUUUUACAAAAACAUCACGCUGAUCAUUUCAUGACAUGAAUGCAAGCAAGAAUAAAACCUGCAAAAUAAACAUUUCUAAUUAUAUGCAUUCUAAUUUUAUAUGAAUUAAACAAGGAUCAAUAGACCGGUUUACUAACAUAUUCAAAUUUUAUGCAUACCAGUUUAACAAAGGUUGCUUCUAACAACCGGAAAGCUUGCCUGAUAUUUGCCGAAAAUAGCAACAACUAAUGUAUGCAAAGUGGAUUCCAAGUAUUGAAAUACCAUUAAUAGCAGGUCUGAUUAAUAGGUACAGGUUAAUAGAAUAACUCGUUACUAGGCCCCGAUGGAAGAAACAUCCAUAAAUUUGACCUUAUUAGUAAAUCGGUCUAUUUCAGGGCGUCACUGGUACCUAUCUCCUGUUGGUGGCGAGCUGCUCAUCGUUGGAAAGUGAACAUUGCGCGUUGGAUCUCAAAUCAAAAGAUUUUUAUUAGAAUAUCUCUUUUACAGUUUUAUUGAUCAAAUUUGUAUGUAUCCAAUAUAUAGUAUUCCUCUGGUAAUUAUGGAGUCAGAAGACAUGGAACUGUUAUUAUUUUGGCUAUAUAGAUCCAUAAUGUUUUGGAUAUUCAUGCUUGUGCAAUCAACAAUUUCAGGUUUCUGAAUGUAUCAGGAUUGGGUUCUGGCUUAGUGGUCGAGGAUUUGGCUUUGCGUCCCAAUCCCACCCACAAACAACAAUAUAUAGUUGACUUACCAUAUUAUUGUAUUUUAAUAACUCAGGUAUAUGGUUUUUGUCUCACCUGCAUAGCAGAGUGAGACUAUAGGCGCCGCUUUUCCGACGGCGGCGGCGGCGGCGGCGGCGGCGUCAACACCAAAUCUUAACCUGAGGUUAAGUUUUUGAAAUGACAGCAUAACUUAGAAAGUAUAUGGACCUAGUUCAUGAAACUUGGCCAUAAGGUUAAUCAAGUAUUACUGAACAUCCUGCCUGAGUUUCAUGUCACAUGACCAAGGUCAAAGGUCAUUUAGGGUCAAUGAACUUAGACCAUGUUGGGGGAAUCAACAUCAAAAUCUUAACCUAAGGUUAAGUUUUUGAAAUGUCAUCAUAACUUAGAAAAUAUAUGGACCUAGUUCAUGAAACUUAUACAUAAGGUUAAUCAAGUAUCACUGAACAUCCUGCAUGAGUUUCACAUCACAUGACCAAGGUCAAAGGUCAUUUAGGGUCAAUGAACUUUGGCCGAAUUGGGGGUAUCUGUUGAAUUACCAUCAUAACUUUGAAAGUUUAUGGAUCUGAUUCAUGAAACUUGGACAUAAUAGUAAUCAAGUAUUUCUGAACAUCCUGUGCAAGUUUCAGGUCACAUGAUAAAGGUCAAAGGUCAUUUAGGGUCAAUGAACUUUGGCCAAAUUGGGGUAUUUGUUGAAUUACAGCCAUAAAUUUGAAAGUGUGUUGGUCUAGUUCAUAAAACUUGGACAUAAUAGUAAUCAAGUAUCACUGAACAUCCUGUGCGAGUUUCAGGUCACAUGAUCAAGAUCAAAGGUCAUGUAAGGUCAAAGAACUUUGGCCACGUUGGGGGUAUUUGUUGAAUUGCCAUCAUAUCUCUAUAAGUGUAUUGGUCUAGUUCAUAAAACGUGGAAAUAAGAGUAACCAAGUAUCACUGAACAUCUUGUGCGAGUUAUAGUAGUUUUCAAAAUCAGCACUGCUGCUAUAUUGAAUUGCGUGAUGCAGGUGAGACGGCCAGAGGCAUUCCACUUGUUUUGUAUUCUAAGAAUUUUAUGUCGUAUAUAUAAUGCUUUUGUCUAGUUUUGUUUUUAGGAGUUUCACAGAGUAUUCAUUUGCUUUAUACUUCGCUUUAUUUUGCUGCUUUGUUCUCCUUAACAAGAUAUAUAUAGCAUCAUUUUGCUAGUACGUUUGUUUCUUUUGAUUGCUCUUUCUUUCAUGUACAUAUAUUUUAUAGAAACAGGCCCACUCUACCUCAAGUAAAAGGUUGUCUUGUACACAUCGGGGUGUGGCCUUCUAAUCUAAAUUGUUUGGUCUUCAUUAUGGUAUGAGAUAUAUGGAGUUUAAUUUAAACUAUUAUUUGAAUAGUUUUGUGGAGUAGAGUAUUUGUUACCCAUACAGAUAACAUGACUUUUUUCUUUCUUAAUUUAAGAGUUUUAUGAAGUAUAUUGACGACUAGAUUUGCUUCACAUCUCAGUGUACUUUGUUGAUUUUUUCUUCAAUAAAGUUACAUCAGCACUUUAUUUUAUA